UACAGAGGUCUCAAGCGUUGUUCGGAAUUACUGGGCGUAAAGGGCGCGUAGGCGGCUCGUCAAGUCGGGCGUGAAAUCUCCAGGCUUAACCUGGAAAAGUCGUUCGAUACUGUUGAGCUAGAGUGUGGAAGAGGCUACUGGAAUUCCGUGUGUAGCGGUGAAAUGCGUAGAUAUACGGAGGAACACCAGCGGCGAAGGCGGGUAGCUGGGCCAACACCGACGCUGAUGCGCGAAAGCCAGGGUAGCAAACGGG
rnacentral:rRNA from 1 species